rnacentral:rRNA from 1 species
AGACGCUGGCGGCGUGCUUAACACAUGCAAGUCGAACGGGAGUAUUGAAGAAGCUUGCUUUAGAGAUACUUUAGUGGCGGACGGGUGAGUAACGCGUGAGGAGCUGUCCUAUGCAGGGGGACAACAGCUGGAAACGGCUGCUAAUACCCCAUAAGCCGAGAGGUAAAAGGAUCAAUCCGGCAGAGGAGGUACUCGCGUCCUAUCAGCUAGUAGGUGAGGUAACGGCUCACCUAGGCGAAGACGGGUAGCCGGCCUGAGAGGGCGAACGGCCACACUGGAACUGAGAUACGGUCCAGACUCCUACGGGAGGCAGCAGUGGGGAAUAUUGGGCAAUGGGGGAAACCCUGACCCAGCGACGCCGCGUGGGUGAAGAAGGUCUUCGGAUCGUAAAACUCUGUCCUUGGUGAAGAAAAGGACGGUAGCCAAGGAGGAAGCCCCGGCUAACUACGUG